AUUGAACGCUGGCGGCAGGCCUAACACAUGCAAGUCGAACGGUAACAGGAAGAAGCUUGCUUCUUUGCUGACGAGUGGCGGACGGGUGAGUAAUGUCUGGGAAACUGCCUGACGGAGGGGGAUAACUACUGGAAACGGUAGCUAAUACCGCAUAACGUCGCAAGACCAAAAAGGGGGACCUUCGGGCCUCUUGCCAUCGGAUGUGCCCAGAUGGGAUUAGCUAGUAGGUGGGGUAACGGCUCACCUAGGCGACGAUCCCUAGCUGGUCUGAGAGGAUGACCAGCCACACUGGAACUGAGACACGGUCCAGACUCCUACGGGAGGCAGCAGUGGGGAAUAUUGCACAAUGGGCGCAAGCCUGAUGCAGCCAUGCCGCGUGUAUGAAGAAGGCCUUCGGGUUGUAAAGUACUUUCAGCGGGGAGGAAGGGAGUAAAGUUAAUACCUUUGCUCAUUGACGUUACCCGCAGAAGAAGCACCGGCUAACUCCGUG
rnacentral:rRNA from 1 species